CCCGCUGAACUUAAGCAUAUCAAUAAGCGGAGGAAAAGAAACUAACAAGGAUUCCCCUAGUAACUGCGAGUGAAGCGGGAAAAGCUCAAAUUUAAAAUCUGGCGGCUCUUUGCCGUCCGAGUUGUAAUUUAGAGAAGCGUCUUCCGCGCUGGACCGUGUACAAGUCUCCUGGAAUGGAGCGUCAUAGAGGGUGAGAAUCCCGUCUUUGACACGGACUGCCAGGGCUUUGUGAUGUGCUCUCAACGAGUCGAGUUGUUUGGGAAUGCAGCUCUAAACGGGUGGUAAAUUCCAUCUAAAGCUAAAUAUUGGCGAGAGACCGAUAGCGAACAAGUACCGUGAGGGAAAGAUGAAAAGAACUUUGGAAAGAGAGUUAAACAGUAUGUGAAAUUGUUGAAAGGGAAACGUUUGAAGUCAGUCGCGUUGGUUGGGGAUCAGCCUGACAUUGUUGGGUUUACUUCCUGGUCGACGGGCCAACAUCAGUUUUGACUGCCAGAAAAAGGCCAAAGGAAUGUGGCACCUUUGGGUGUGUUAUAGCCAUUGGUCGUAUAUGGUGGUUGGGACUGAGGAAAGCAGCGUGCCGAAAGGCCGGGUUUCGACCACGUUCACGCUGAGGAUGUUGGCAUAAUGGCUUUAAGCGACCCGUCUUGAAACACGG
rnacentral:rRNA from 1 species